rnacentral:rRNA from 1 species
AUUGAACGCUGGCGGUAUGCCUAACACAUGCAAGUCGAACGGUAACACACUUUCGGCUUGCUCUUAGUGGUGGCGGGGUGCGUACUACUGCGGAACAUGUCCGAACCUGCUGUUUCAUGGGGCAUAAGGUAUGGUAAUUUACCCUAAUACCUCCUACUACCUGCGGGUGAACGCAAGGGAUUUUCGGACCGUGCCCGACUGUGGCAGCCGAUGUCGGAUUAGGUAGUUGGCGGGGUAAAGGCGCACCAAGGCGACGAUCCGUAGCUGGUCUGAGAGGAUGAUCAGCCACACUGGAACUGAGACACGGUCCAGACUCCUACGGGAGGCAGCAGUGGGGAAUUUUGGACAAUGGGCGCAAGCCUGAUCCAGCCAUGCCGCGUGCGGGAAGAAGGCCUUCGGGUUGUAAAGUGCUUUUGUAGGGAACGAAAAGCCGUCGGUUAAUACACCGCUGUUAUGACGGUACCGAAAGAAUAAGCACCGGCUAACUACGUG